UAAUCUAAUAAGCACUGAAAUUCUAGUAUUUAGACCAACUCUAACUAAUUGAUUUUGAAUUUUUAAUCUGCAUGGCAUGGAUUGAAGUAACACGCGUAGUUCAUUUAUAUCUCAAUCAUGCAUUAACUUGAUUUAAUGUAUUUGACAUAUCAAAUGCACAAUCAAUAAUUUUAAUGAAUGUAUUUGAAACAUAAAAUGCAAAAUAUCAUGCUAAGGUGAUCCAAUUAAGGAAAAAUAGAUAAUCUCAAAUGCACUUUUAAUAUAUUGACCUUAAUUUUCACACCAAACCUUAAAACAUAGAGAAAAUAAAUGAAAGAACAAGAAAUGACAGGGAUAAUGUUAAUUAUUUAACUAGAUUUUUCAUUUUCACUUUUCUUAUCGUUCACAUGAUUAAAAAUUUAUAACCAAUAAAUUAUUGUUUUUAAUUAAGAAAGCACAUGUUAUAGAAUAUUAUGACUUCGUACAUGAAGAGUAAGUCAUUCUAGAAAUAAUAAAUCUCCGCCUAUAAAAUCACCGAAUGUCACCAUUACUUCCACACCUCCUCGAUUUCCACCAUUUUUUGGCUUUUUUUGUCUGUUUGAUAGAGGCUUCCCUAGGGAAUCACCCCGAACAAAACCCUUCGAUUAAGGAUUUAGAAAAUUCAAACAAGCAACAGUGAGGAACACCAUCGCCUCCACACUGCUACUCUGGUGGUUGGCGUCAUGCAUCAGCAUCCUUCUCCUCACCACUCACUCUGCAGCACAUGGAGAUAUCGUGAAAGACAUCGCAAAUGGUGUGAAAUACAGUUAUUCCAAAUUUUACAACCUUACCGACCAAUUAGUCCAUGACAUUAGAAAGCUAGGAAAGAUGUAAUCAGUGCCAAAAAGCAAAUUUUCAUCCUCGGAGGCUAGAGCAACAUGGCAAGCCACGACGCAAUUACCGACGGAGUGGUUCCAGUGGAUAACAGUCUCAACCUCUCUUAAGUCAUUUCAAUUAAAUGUCCAACUCAAGUGGGAGGUGACACAUGAUCCCCUCCACAGAGACAUCGACAUCAAUAAACCAUGCGGGGUGGGAACUGGGAUAUCGUUUGCAAACUUAGUGAAGUCUCGAUUAGGAGUCAUCGGUCUUGUGCCAUGUGCUAGAGGUGGCUCAUCAAUCAAAGAGUGGGAAAUAGGUGAUAAACAUUAUGAGAACAUGAUUAAGAGGGCUAAAGACAUAGUGAAAGAUGGUGGUGUUGGUGGUGAUAUAAAGACACUUCUGUGGUAUCAAGGAGAGAAUGAUACAUUCAAUUUGAAUGACAUGGAAAACUAUAAAAGACGUCUUGAAAAGCUUGUCCAAAAUGUACGAACCGAUCUUAAUAUGCAUUUUCUUCCAAUUCUUCAGGUUAUUAUUGAAUCAAUAAAUGGUCCAUUGAAAGAUGAGGUUUUAAAACAACAAAAGGCGUUAAGCUGACUAAUGUCGUAAUGGUGGAUUUAGACGGAUUGGGGUUCAACGAAGAUAAUAUUCAUUUGAACACGGAGGUCCAGGUUCAACUAGAUAAAUUUUAACGUAGAGUUAAAAGGAGAAAAGUGAAAAUACUUUGCGCAAAAUUGUUUAAAUAUGAUCACCCAACCAUUUGGCCGGUUGAACCUGGGUCUCCGUGUUCAAGUGAAUAUUAUCUUCGUUGAGCCCCAAUCCGUUUGAAUCCACCUUUACAACAUUAGGCACUUUAAAUGCCUUUUGUUAUUUUAUAACCUCAUCUUUGGAUGGACCAUCUGCUGAUUCAAUAAUAACUUGAAGAAUCGGAAGAGAAGGCAUAUUAAGAUCGGUUCGUACAUUUUGGACAAGCUUUUCAAGACGUCCGUUAUAGUUUUCCUUGUCGUUCAAAUAAGACGUAUCACUCUCUUCUUGAUGCCAUAGAAGUGCCUUUAUUUUACCACCAACACCACCAACUUUCACUAUGACUUUAACCCUCUUAAUCAUGUUCUCAUAAUGUUUAUCACCUUUUUCCCACUCUUCGAUUGAUGAGCCACCUUUAGCACAUGGCACAAGACUAAUGACUCCCAAUCGAGUCUUCACCGAGUUUGCGAAUGACAUCCCGGGUUUCACCCCGCAUGGUCUAUCGAUGUUGUUGCCUUUGUGGAGGAGAUCACGUGCCACCUCCCACUUGAGUUGGACAUUUAGCCGAAAGACUUUGGAGGGGUCGGGAGUGUUAUCCACUGGAAUUACGUUGUCGAUAAUUGCGCCGCGACCUGCCACAUUCCUCUGGACCUCGAGGAUGAAGAUUUGCUUUUUGGCACUGAUUCCAUGUUUCUGUAUUCGAAUUGGAAAGCUUCAUUAGUGAACAAUUAAGUCACAAUCUCGUGCUUAAAUUUGAAAUAGGAAUUACAAAUUGAUAACAGACACAAACCCGUGAUUCUUGCCCUAGCUUUCUAAUGUCAAGGGCUAACUGGUAGGUAAGGUUGUAGAAUUUGGAGUAACCGUAUUUCACACCAUCUGUGAUGUCUUUCAUGAUAUCUUUGUGUUGCAGAAUGGGUGGUGAGGAGGAUGCUGAUGUAUGACGCCAUCCACCAGAGUAGCACUGUGAAGGCGAUGGUGUUCCUUAUUGUUGCUUGUUUGGAUUUUUUGAAUCCUUAAACGAAGUGUUUUGUUCGGGGUGAUUCCCUAGGAAAGUCUCCACCAAACAAAUGAAAAAAGCCAAAGAAUGGUGGAAAUCGAGGUGGGGAGGUAAUGGUGACAUUUGGUGGAUUUUAUAAGCAGAGAUUUAUUAUUCCUAGAAUGACUUGCUCUUUGUGUAUGAAGUCAUAAUAUUCUAUAGCAUGUGCUUGCUUAAUGAAAACCAAUAAUUUAUUGGUUAUAAAUUUCUUAAUCGUGUGUGAACGAUAGGAAAAAUGAAAUUAAAAAUCUAGUUAAAUAAUUAGCAUUAUCUCCGGUAUUUUUUGUUCUUUCAUUUAUUUUAUCUAUGUUUUUAAGGUUUGGUGUGAAAAUCAAGGUCAAUAAAUUAAAAGUACAUUUGAGAUGAUCUAUUUUUCCUUAAUUAUACCACCUUAGCAUGAUAUUUUGCAUUUUAUGUUUCAAAUAUAUUAAUUAAAUUAUUAAUUGUGCAUUUGAUAUGUCAAAUACAUUAAAUCAAGUUAAUGCAUGAUUGAGGUAUAAAUAAACUAUACGUGUUGCUUCAAUCCAUGCCAUGCAGAUUAAAAAUCUAGAAUCAGGUAAUUAGACUCGGUCUAACUACUAGAAUUUCAUGUCAUCAUCGGUCCUUAACAAAAAAUUAGCAUCGUGUUUAUUAGAUUAAUCCCCUCUCUGUGUGUGUGUGUGUGUUAAAACUUUAAUUUCCAUGUGCAUUCUUUUAAAAUCGUGAGUAAUUUUCUAAAAUUAGUACUUUCAGUUCCUAUAAUUUGGUAGAGUUUGUA